rnacentral:misc_RNA from 1 species
ACACCUCAACUCUCAUGGCUUGCCGUGACGAGCUUGGACUUUGGGGGUCUUGUUGGCCUUUGAGCCGGCUCCUCUUAAAUGAAUCAGCUUGCCGGUGUUUGGUGGCAUCAUGGGUGUGAUAACUAUCUACGCUUGUGGUUUCCCACCAGGUAACCUUCAGCAAUGGAGGUUCGCUGGGGCUUAUAAAUAUCUCUCCUCAGUGAGGACAGAUUUUGACC